GAGAUAUGAUGAUCAAUUCAUUGGUCCGUGUUUCUGAAUUUACCGUGACCGACAACUUAUUAACCAAACUCUGAUCUC